CGACUGGUUGCCUCGGCAUUACCCUCUCUUCCACACAAAGCUCACAUCGGCGGCUGCUCUGUUAUUUCACACAGGCGCGCCGCGGCGGCCAUUCCCCACCGGUAAGAUGUCGACGGACGGAUUGGAGGUCGACGGGUAUGUUCUUAUUGCUUCAACGUCUCUCUCCCCCGAGUUCCUUCCUCCAUCUUUUUGCAAAUCCCUCCACUGAUGGUGCUAGAUUUGAUUGCAAGAGGGGGGGAGCCAACAUCACUGGAACCUAUGGCCUGUUCGUCAGCUUAUGCCGCCGCUAUGCCCUGGACCAUAUCCCCUCGCCCAUGGCAUUCGUUCGAAUCAGCACACGAGAGAGAAUCUGAUGCUGGCCCCUUACCCCCUGGCGAUAUCCUAACCCUCGUGGAAUAAGCCAUAGCCACGGAACAACUCUUCCUCUCGAUCCCCUUUUCUCUUCCCUACGCGCACGGCGGCGCCGGUGCUCUCCGGCGAGAUGUGUACCAAUGGUGUCAAUUGCAACGGAAUCUUUGGCGGUCCUUCCGCUUGGAGUGGUUUCGUCCUACCUGUGGAGUCUCAGGAUUCCAUGAGCAUCGUCAAUGCCGCGAUGGGCGCCGCCCGCAAGACCUUAGAGCCAUGUGGAGAGGCGGCUGGAUAUGAGGUGUUCUCUGAAGAUACCAGUGGCUGGACACGCAGGUUAGUGAUGAAAAGUCUUGGAGAUCCUUCUAUCUGCUUACAAGUGGUGUUUAGACGUGUUGCAUCUUAGCUAAGCGGGUAUUUUCUUGUGGGUGUGUUGACAUUCAGUAUAGGAACGGCCUGUUUGGUGAAUUUGUAGAACGAUUAUUGGAUUUUUCCUACCCCGCCCCCCAAUGCAGCAUUCAUGUAUUGUUUACUGUUAUGUGGCCAAUUUAUUUUAUUGGUCGUUGUGUUGUUGUUUGAUUUUGUCAGCCGCAGUGGCAACCAUCUUGGAUUUGCUUAUGGAUGAUUUGGUACAAAACAGUGUUGUAAUGUGCAUCUAGAGAAAAGAAACAAUAAUUUGGUAUUGGGCUUCUGAUUUUUAGCUUCCGGUGUACUUGAAAGCUGGAUUGUUGGGUGCUGUUUAGAUUUUGUCUAGUUGCAACUCUAGGAUUAGGUUGGUGGAUUUGUUAAGAUGGUGUAUUGUAGGUUUGUUUAGCAGGCUUGGAGUUGUCCUUGUGUUGUUCUGACACAGCAGGAAGAUAGUUUGAUUUGUAUGUUUCAGCAUUGUUAGCUGGGGAUUUAGGUUGGUCAUUAUGUAAUUGGGUUUAAUUCUUGAUGCUCGGUGUGCGGCUUAUUUUGCCUCCGAGGAGAGAUCUGAUAUUGCCAGAUAGAUUUUUUCUGGGUUUGAUAUUCAGUUUACAAAUGAGGCUAAUCAAUUGUUUAUAAUCAGACCCAAAUGUUGUGGCGUGAAUCCAAAACCAUUGUUUUCAGCAAUCAGUGAUGCACCCCUGGUCAUACGUAUUUGUUAGUCUACAUUACCUAUAUAUAUACUUGUUUUUAUCUGUAUGCACCCGUCAGUUAGUUAACUGAAAUUUGUUGGUAGUGGUGCAUUGUAUUCUUUAACUGCUAUACUGAAGCAACGAAUUGAAACAGUUAAAAACAAUAAGCUCUUAAGUAAUUAACCAAUACUUGAUGGCUGUGUUAUUAUUAUAGUAUAUAUUUUUGGCCCUGGAUUACGAAUCAGACUGAAAUUUCCUGGUUUCCUGGUUUUGUGUUAUUAAUACAUUGGGUUUAAAUUGGAGCCUUUUUCUCUUAAACUGCAAUUUGUUGUUAGCCUCUCACUUAUGUGUGUUGUUAUAUAUCUGACGAAAAUAUAUACUGGUGUCAGUCCUCCAAAUGGGGAAACUGCCAUUGUUCUGUGCCAUAAAUAAAACAUCUUGCAAAUGCAGUUGAUUCUACCUUGUGUCUGAGAUUUACACAGGAAGAGUUAACUAUACUCUUCGCAUCUGCCAGUUUUAUGAUCACCUUCAUUUGAUACCCAAUCAUGUCUAAUUUCUCUUGCCCCACUGGUAUUUGUUGAAUUUGUUGUAGCACUUGGACAGUGAGGAGUGGACUUUUACCAUAUGUACAUGCAUGUCUCGGGAAUUACUGGUACAUGUCAGCGAAAGAGUCAUGUCUCUAUGAUAUAACUAGUUUUUCAGUGAGACAUGCCGACAUGUUACACAAAAAACUGGGUACAAAAUUUACCAUGAAUGAUGUUUCAUUGAUUGCUCCUUCCAGUGCUAUUUAAGUUCAUAUCUACAUCUAAUCUUGCUACAAAUUACCUUUUCUGGCAUACAUGUACGAUGAUUUUUUUUACGUCAGCUGUAAUGACAAAGCAUUAUGUGUCAGACACAUGUUCAAUUAGAUGAUGUACAAUUCCAGCUAGUAGAUUAUGGAGACUUGUUUGUGGAACCUUCCAAACAUGUUAAUCAAUGGCUGUUAAACAGUGUAAGCAUGGGCCUGCUGCUGGCACA